GGCUUACACCCACAUACCCGGUAAAUUACACACUUUGAUGUUCUGCUCCUUCUCCUGACGGUCACGGUAACGAUGUCUGCGCCUCCGUUUCUGUGGAUGUCCAGCGUGAGACACAACUUGAAUCCAACCAGACUGAACACUGACUCCAGGUACAGACCUGUUUUCAUUACUUACAAAGUAUUGCACAUAAUACAUAAUGUGUUAAAUUAUAAUGCAAUACUUUUAAUGUGAAAUAGCUCCAUACUAAACAUUCAUUGUCAUGGUAGUGCACGUUUUAAUCCAAAAGCAUAUUCAAAUACAUAGUUGAAUAUCCACCGAAAAUAAGAAUACACACUUUGUUCAUAUGUAACUCUAAUAAAUACUGUAUAAGUUAUAUUUUGCUCCGGAAU